rnacentral:rRNA from 1 species
UAAGUUAUUAAGGGCGCACGGUGGAUGCCUUGGCACUAGAAGCCGAUGAAGGACGUUACUAACGACGAUAUGCUUUGGGGAGCUGUAAGUAAGCUUUGAUCCAGAGAUUUCCGAAUGGGGAAACCCAGCAUGAGUUAUGUCAUGUUAUCGAUAUGUGAAUACAUAGCAUAUCAGAAGGCACACCCGGAGAACUGAAACAUCUUAGUACCCGGAGGAAGAGAAAGAAAAUUCGAUUCCCUUAGUAGCGGCGAGCGAAACGGGAAGAGCCCAAACCAACAAGUUUGCUUGUUGGGGUUGUAGGACACUCUAUACGGAGUUACAAAGGACGACAUUAGACGAAUCAUCUGGAAAGAUGAAUCAAAGAAGGUAAUAAUCCUGUAGUCGAAAAUGUUGUCUCUCUUGAGUGGAUCCUGAGUACGACGGAGCACGUGAAAUUCCGUCGGAAUUUGGGAGGACCAUCUCCUAAGGCUAAAUACUCUCUAGUGACCGAUAGCGAACCAGUACCGUGAGGGAAAGGUGAAAAGCACCCCGGAAGGGGAGUGAAAUAGAACCUGAAACCGUGUGCUUACAAGUAGUCAGAGCCCGUUAAUGGGUGAUGGCGUGCCUUUUGUAGAAUGAACCGGCGAGUUACGAUUUGAUGCAAGGUUAAGCAGUAAAUGUGGAGCCGUAGCGAAAGCGAGUCUGAAUAGGGCGUUUAGUAUUUGGUCGUAGACCCGAAACCAGGUGAUCUACCCUUGGUCAGGUUGAAGUUCAGGUAACACUGAAUGGAGGACCGAACCGACUUACGUUGAAAAGUGAGCGGAUGAACUGAGGGUAGCGGAGAAAUUCCAAUCGAACCUGGAGAUAGCUGGUUCUCUCCGAAAUAGCUUUAGGGCUAGCCUCAAGUGAUGAUUAUUGGAGGUAGAGCACUGUUUGGACGAGGGGCCCCUCUCGGGUUACCGAAUUCAGACAAACUCCGAAUGCCAAUUAAUUUAACUUGGGAGUCAGAACAUGGGUGAUAAGGUCCGUGUUCGAAAGGGAAACAGCCCAGACCACCAGCUAAGGUCCCAAAAUAUAUGUUAAGUGGAAAAGGAUGUGGCGUUGCCCAGACAACUAGGAUGUUGGCUUAGAAGCAGCCAUCAUUUAAAGAGUGCGUAAUAGCUCACUAGUCGAGUGACACUGCGCCGAAAAUGUACCGGGGCUAAACAUAUUACCGAAGCUGUGGAUUGUCCUUUGGACAAUGGUAGGAGAGCGUUCUAAGGGCGUUGAAGCAUGAUCGUAAGGACAUGUGGAGCGCUUAGAAGUGAGAAUGCCGGUGUGAGUAGCGAAAGACGGGUGAGAAUCCCGUCCACCGAUUGACUAAGGUUUCCAGAGGAAGGCUCGUCCGCUCUGGGUUAGUCGGGUCCUAAGCUGAGGCCGACAGGCGUAGGCGAUGGAUAACAGGUUGAUAUUCCUGUACCACCUAUAAUCGUUUUAAUCGAUGGGGGACGCAGUAGGAUAGGCGAAGCGUGCGAUUGGAUUGCACGUCUAAGCAGUAAGGCUGAGUAUUAGGCAAAUCCGGUACUCAUUAAGGCUGAGCUGUGAUGGGGAGAAGACAUUGUGUCUUCGAGUCGUUGAUUUCACACUGCCGAGAAAAGCCUCUAGAUAGAAAAUAGGUGCCCGUACCGCAAACCGACACAGGUAGUCAAGAUGAGAAUUCUAAGGUGAGCGAGCGAACUCUCGUUAAGGAACUCGGCAAAAUGACCCCGUAACUUCGGGAGAAGGGGUGCUCUUUAGGGUUAACGCCCAGAAGAGCCGCAGUGAAUAGGCCCAAGCGACUGUUUAUCAAAAACACAGGUCUCUGCUAAACCGUAAGGUGAUGUAUAGGGGCUGACGCCUGCCCGGUGCUGGAAGGUUAAGAGGAGUGGUUAGCUUCUGCGAAGCUACGAAUCGAAGCCCCAGUAAACGGCGGCCGUAACUAUAACGGUCCUAAGGUAGCGAAAUUCCUUGUCGGGUAAGUUCCGACCCGCACGAAAGGCGUAACGAUUUGGGCACUGUCUCAACGAGAGACUCGGUGAAAUCAUAGUACCUGUGAAGAUGCAGGUUACCCGCGACAGGACGGAAAGACCCCGUGGAGCUUUACUGUAGCCUGAUAUUGAAAUUCGGCACAGCUUGUACAGGAUAGGUAGGAGCCUUUGAAACGUGAGCGCUAGCUUACGUGGAGGCGCUGGUGGGAUACUACCCUAGCUGUGUUGGCUUUCUAACCCGCACCACUUAUCGUGGUGGGAGACAGUGUCAGGCGGGCAGUUUGACUGGGGCGGUCGCCUCCUAAAAGGUAACGGAGGCGCUCAAAGGUUCCCUCAGAAUGGUUGGAAAUCAUUCAUAGAGUGUAAAGGCAUAAGGGAGCUUGACUGCGAGACCUACAAGUCGAGCAGGGUCGAAAGACGGACUUAGUGAUCCGGUGGUUCCGCAUGGAAGGGCCAUCGCUCAACGGAUAAAAGCUACCCCGGGGAUAACAGGCUUAUCUCCCCCAAGAGUUCACAUCGACGGGGAGGUUUGGCACCUCGAUGUCGGCUCAUCGCAUCCUGGGGCUGUAGUCGGUCCCAAGGGUUGGGCUGUUCGCCCAUUAAAGCGGUACGCGAGCUGGGUUCAGAACGUCGUGAGACAGUUCGGUCCCUAUCCGUCGUGGGCGUAGGAAAUUUGAGAGGAGCUGUCCUUAGUACGAGAGGACCGGGAUGGACAUACCUCUGGUGUACCAGUUGUCGUGCCAACGGCAUAGCUGGGUAGCUAUGUGUGGACGGGAUAAGUGCUGAAAGCAUCUAAGCAUGAAGCCCCCCUCAAGAUGAGAUUUCCCAACUUCGGUUAUAAGAUCCCUCAAAGAUGAUGAGGUUAAUAGGUUCGAGGUGGAAGCAUGGUGACAUGUGGAGCUGACGAAUACUAAUCGAUCGAAGACUUAAUCA